GCCUACGGGGGGCAGCAGUCGGGAAUAUUGCGCAAUGGAGGAAACUCUGACGCAGUGACGCCGCGUAUAGGAAGAAGGUCUUCGGAUUGUAAACUAUUGUCGUUAGGGAAGAAAAAGGACAGUACCUAAGGAGGAAGCUCCGGCUAACUACGUGCCAGCAGCCGCGGUAAUACGGAGGAUGCGAGCGUUAUCCGGAUUUAUUGGGUUUAAAGGGUGCGUAGGCGGACUGUUAAGUCAGCGGUAAAAGCCCGGGGCUCAACCCCGGCGAGCCGUUGAAACUGGCUGUCUUGAGAUGUCGAGAGGUA
rnacentral:rRNA from 1 species